rnacentral:rRNA from 1 species
UGCCUACGGGAGGCAGCAGUGGGGAAUAUUGCACAAUGGGGGAAACCCUGAUGCAGCGACGCCGCGUGGGCGAGGAAGUACCUCGGUAUGUAAAGCCCUAUCAGCAGGGAAGAAACAGGACAGUACCUGACUAAGAAGCCCCGGCUAACUACGUGCCAGCAGCCGCGGUAAUACGUAGGGGGCAAGCGUUAUCCGGAAUUACUGGGUGUAAAGGGAGCGUAGACGGCAAUGCAAGUCCGGAGUGGAAUGCGGCAGCUCAACUGCCGAACUGCUCUGGAAACUGUAUGGCUUGAGUGCAGGAGGGG